GAUGAACGCUGGCGGCGUGCUUAACACAUGCAAGUCGAACGAAGCAAUUUAACGGAAGUUUUCGGAUGGAAGUUAAAUUGACUGAGUGGCGGACGGGUGAGUAACGCGUGGGUAACCUGCCUCAUACAGGGGGAUAACAGUUGGAAAUGACUGCUAAUACCGCAUAAGCGCACAGUAUCGCAUGAUACAGUGUGAAAAACGCCGGUGGUAUGAGAUGGACCCGCGUCUGAUUAGCUAGUUGGUGGGGUAACGGCCUACCAAGGCGACGAUCAGUAGCCGACCUGAGAGGGUGACCGGCCACAUUGGGACUGAGACACGGCCCAAACUCCUACGGAAGGCAGCAGUGGGGAAUAUUGCACAAUGGGCGAAAGCCUGAUGCAGCGACGCCGCGUGAGCGAAGAAGUAUUUCGGUAUGUAAAGCUCUAUCAGCAGGGAAGAAAAAUGACGGUACCUGACUAGGAAGCACCGGCUAAUACGUGCCAGCAGCCGCCGUAAUAC
rnacentral:rRNA from 1 species